GAUGAACGCUAGCGGCAGGCUUAACACAUGCAAGUCGAGGGGUAACAUUGAUUGCUUGCAAUCAGAUGACGACCGGCGCACGGGUGCGUAACGCGUAUACAAUCUACCUUUACAGAGGGAUAGCCCGAAGAAAUUCGGAUUAAUACCUCAUAAUAUUGUUUAAUCGCAUGGUUAAAUAAUUAAAGUUUCGGCGGUAAAAGAUGAGUAUGCGUUCUAUUAGUUAGUUGGUAAGGUAACGGCUUACCAAGACAGCGAUAGAUAGGGGUCCUGAGAGGGAGAUCCCCCACACUGGUGCUGAGACACGGACCAG
rnacentral:rRNA from 1 species